GAAGUAACAGUAAAGCAGAAUGGCUACAGACAAUUAGUUCAGAAUUGAAGAAGAGAUGCAGGUCUUUGUUCUAUAAUUAUGGUGUAUGAGGGAACCAUGGUGGAAAUUUGGAUUUCAUGGCAGUCAUAGAAAUAUCUUAUAAGUCUGUUGGACAGUGAUGUGUGUACCAGUCUGUCAGACUAUUAUGUGUCUGUCCAAUCGAAAAAUUCGCAGUGGAUGCUUAGUUUCUCACAUAAUUUGGCAGAAUUUUCACACAAGACAGAUUGCAAAAGACUUUAGUACCCAAAACCCUCAAAAUGAGAGUGCUUUGACAAUAUAAAGUUUUUCGCAUAGACGGGGAUUGGCCACCUCUGUGUAUAUAAGUCUACAACUUCUCAGAUUUGACCGAAGACAAUUGUUUGGUGUUGUGAAUGGAUGUUGUUUGGCCGCAGGCUUUCCAAUCACACAGAAGAUACUGGUUGGAUCACGAGAAGGGUCACUUCAAUUGAUAUUAGUCACAGGAAAAAUGAGAACCAGUUGUAGAUUCUCAGGUUGAAAUUUAUUAAGAGAAAUAUAUGAGGUAGGGCAGUUUUCCAUAAACGCAACAAGAAGUUCACAUUUGUUGCACAGAUUUGUGUCUCACAUGUAUGGAGUUGAAGGAAUAGUUACAGGAAAAGGGUACAGAAUAUGUAAGGAUAUGAUAGCCAAACACCUUCCCCAGGAAUCCAUGCAGCAACUUUCUGAUAGAAAGAUGUACCUGUUGUGCAAAGGGGAUAAGCUGGCUUGGUGACAGGCCAGUUGAAACCAGAGACUGCCGGUACAUUUUUUGGUGAUCAUUUGACGAAGCCAGUUGUAGUGCUUUUACAGUUAGGGAGAGUGAGUUUACAUUCUGCUGGAGCCCGCUUAGCUCAGUAGGUCAGGUAUAUACUCUGGUUACAGAUUGCAGUAUCAGCCAGAAACCACAGCCAUUCUAAAUAUAGGAUGAACACAAUCAGACAACCUGGCAAGAAGAUUUUACGUUCAGGAGUGUUGACAUUCUGCUCAAGAUUCUAGUCUGGAGAUACCAUCGGCGAUCUUAGAAUUUUUUUUAAGAUUUAAGUUUAAAAAUGUGAUAUUGACUUUUAAAAGACUACAUUAAUAUUUUAUACUGUUUUCAGUCAAAGGGUUUAAACUUCUUUUUUGGGGUGAGGGGGGAUAACUGUACUGCAGACAAUUUUGUAUGGCAAAAUAAAACAAAGAAAAAUAUUUUUAUGUUAAAAAUACCUUUUUUAUAUAUGAAUACUUAUGAAUUGACUUUUUCAUGUCUCUAAGAUACGCAAGAUUGCAGUGAUUGCUUGUUAGCUCAUCAGAGCACGAAGUAUUAAGGUGAGCAAUUGUGACCGGUCAUUGUCAGUUGUGUGUCGUCCGUCAACAUUUGCUUUGUUAAUACUUCAGAGGCCAUAUUUGUGACCCAAUCUUUAUGAAACUUUGUCACAAUUUUUUUCUUGAUAAUUUAAAAAGUUUGAAACAGGGUCAUGAGGGGACUUAAACCAGGGCAGCAGGCAGAUCAAAGGAAAAACUUGUGAAUAAUUUAGAAGCAGAACGUUUGUCUUGAUGAUUUCUAGGUCAAGUUUGUAUCUGGGUCAUUUGUGGUUAAAAACUAGGUCACCUGUUCAAACUGAAGGAAAACCUUGUGAACACUUUAGAGACUACAGCUGUAACUCAAUCCUUAUGAAGCUUGGUCAGAAUGCUUGUCUUGAUGAUUACUAGGUCAAGUUUGUAACUGGAAUAUGUUGGAUCAAAACUAGGUUACCAGGCCAGGUCAAAGGAAAAUCUUGUGAACACUCUUGAGACUGCAAUUAAAGUUUGAAACUCAUGAGAAUUGGUCAGAAUGUAAGUCAGAAUGAGUAUUAGUCAGAAUGUAGGUCACUCAGUCAAAUCAAAGGAAAUGUUGUGCUACAGUUGUGACCAAUUCUUUAUGAAAUUUGGUAAGAAUGUUUGUCUUGAUGAUAUCUAGGUCAAGUUUGUAACUGAGUUAUGUGGGCCAUAAACUAGGUCACUAGGCCAGAUCAAAGGAAAAUCUUGAGAACUCUCUAGAGACCACAAUUUAAAUUUGAAACUCAUGAGAAAGCUUGUGAAUAUCAAUAGGCACAGUUGUGAAUAUAACUUGUCCAAUAAACUUGGACACAAUGUUUGUCUUGAUGAUCUCUAGGUCAAGUACGAAUCUGGGUCACAUGGUUUCAAAAACUAAGUAAGGAAGAAUAGACUAUUGACUUGUUUCCCAGAUAAAUCUGCUUAUGUCUAGGUAAGAGGUCAAUUGUUCAUAUUUCAAGGGUCUUAAUAAAGGAUUCUGUAGCUUAUUUUGUAGAACCUCUUUUGUUCAGUUCCCUUCCAGUCAAAUAAAAACUAUUAUAAUGAUGUAUAAUAUUUUUGAUACAUUUUGUCUAUUAACUAGAAACCUUUAAAUAGCUGUAAGCAUUGUUACAUGAUUGCUGAUGUAAUGUAAGUGCCUUACUAGAUUUGACCUGUAAUUUAAUGUACAAAAAUGAUGGCUAAAUCUUAAAUAUGUUUGAAUGGUAUAGUUUGUCAACUUUUGUUGACACAUGAGGUGCCAUUUUCAGGAUACGGGAUAUACGCUGUCUCAAAAAUCUAUAUCGGGCUCGAGCUACGCUCUCGUCUGAUAUGGAUUUUCUCAACAGCGUAUAUCACGUAUCCUGUAACUAAUAAUAACCAUGAUAUACUUCAUAAAUUGGUGUGAUAAGAUCAUACUUCUAAAUGUCUAAACAUUUCAGUGGUAGCAAUUUUAAGCCUCCAAAAUCUCUGACUUUUUUGCAAUAAAGUUGAAUAAUCUCAUGCCAUUUCUUUUCUGUACAGAUUAUUUUCAAAGUUCUCAUACAGAAAAAAUGAAAAAAAAAUUUAAACCACGAAAUUACAAAUGAUUUAAAUGCUGCUACAUGUACUUCUUAGAGGCUUGAAUUUUUGGAUAUCAUUUUUUUUUUGGCAUAAAUUGAUUGAUUUAUUGAUUAAUGAAUUGAAUUUAUUGGUUACUUUUUUAUUGGGAUUUUAUUCCUUCGAUUAAGCCAACCAUGAAAUUUACAAAAAUUAAUGCAGAACGACAAUAAUUUCACAUUCUUUUGUUUUUAGGUAUGAUCAAUGCAAUAAUUCAGGUUUUCCCUUGCUUUUUUAGCAGUGUUCGUUAUAAAUUGAAAAGACAAAUAAGAGAAAUAGUCAGCAUUGCUUAUAGCUGUGAAAUUAGCAGAAUCAGGCUCCUUUAUUCUAAAGAUUUUCUUUGUUUGAAUAAUGCACGUAUCCUUGACAUUGUUGUAUAUUUGUAUUUUGCUUGAAUGUUCUUGAAAGACCAGGGCUUUGCUCAAGGAACGGUCAUUAUGAUAAAAAAAAAAUGUUGAAGAUACAAAAAUGUAUACAAAAAGCCUUUUUGCCAAUGAAGAGAAUAUAUAUACAAAUGCAUGACAGACAUUUUCGCUGUUGUGAGAAUUAAAACACUUGUAUAACAUACAAUUCAUCAUUUACAAUAUUCCAGUUCAGUCAUUAUCUUUAAGACCGCCCGCUUAGCUUUGUAGGUAGUGUUGGUCUACAGAUCGCAGGGUCGUGAGUUCGAUCCUCGGGCGGGGCGAAUGUUCUCCGUGACCAUUUGAUAAACGACAUUGUGUCUGAAAUCAUUAGUCCUCCACCUCUGAUUCAUGUGGGGAAGUUGGCAUUUACUUGCGGAGAACAGGUUUGUACUGGUACAGAAUCCAGGAACACCGGUUAGGUUAACUGCCCGCCGUUACAUAACUGAAAUACUGUUGAAAAAUGGCGUUUAACCCAAAACA